rnacentral:rRNA from 1 species
AUUAAACGCUGGCGGCAGGCUUAACACAUGCAAGUCGAGCGGGGUGAGGUGCUUCGGUACUGAUCCUAGCGGCGGACGGGUGAGUAAUGCUUAGGAAUCUGCCAUUUAGUGGGGGACAACAUUCCGAAAGGAAUGCUAAUACCGCAUACGUCCUACGGGAGAAAGCAGGGGAUCUUCGGACCUUGCGCUAAAUGAUGAGCCUAAGUCGGAUUAGCUAGUUGGUGGCGUAAAGGCCUACCAAGGCGACGAUCUGUAGCGGGUCUGAGAGGAUGAUCCGCCACACUGGGACUGAGAAACGGCCCAGACUCCUACGGGGGGCAGCAGUGGGGAAUAUUGGACAAUGGGCGGAAGCCUGAUCCAGCCAUGCCGCGUGUGUGAAGAAGGCCUUUUGGUUGUAAAGCACUUUAAGCGAGGAGGAGGCUACCUGGAUUAAUACUCUGGGAUAGUGGACGUUACUCGCAGAAUAAGCACCGGCUAACUCUGUGCCAGCCGCCGCAGUAAUAC